rnacentral:rRNA from 1 species
GACGAACGCUGGCGGCGUGCUUAACACAUGCAAGUCGUACGGUAAGGCCCUUUCGGGGGUACACGAGUGGCGAACGGGUGAGUAACACGUGAGUAACCUGCCCACAACUUUGGGAUAACGCUAGGAAACUGGUGCUAAUACUGGAUAUGUGCUCCAGCUGCAUGGAGGGGGUUGGAAAGCUCCGGCGGUUGUGGAUGUACUCGCGGCCUAUCAGCUUGUUGGUGGGGUAGUGGCCUACCAAGGCGGCGACGUGUAGCCGGCCUGUGAGGGUGACCGGCCAAACAGUCACUGAGCUACGGCCCCGACUCCUACGGGUGGCAGUAGUGGGAAAUUUUGCACUAUGGGCGCGCGUCUGGUGCAGCACCGCCGCGUGCGGGAUUACGCCCUUCGUGUUGGAGACCGAAUUCAGCAGGUACGAAGCUUUUUGUGACGGUACCUGCAGAAGAAGCACCGGCUAACUACGUG